CCUCCUUUUCUUGGCGGGGACCGGGCGUGUGGUCCCGCUCCCCGUUAUGUACGGAGGCAGAGUGAAAGGGCUCCGGCGUCAUGUCUUCGGUGCCGGCGGCUUCACAUCCGCCGGUUCUAUCCUCAAGCGCCGGGACACUG
rnacentral:snoRNA from 12 species